rnacentral:lncRNA from 1 species
UUUCUGCCUUUCUUUCACUUUUUUGCUCUUUUUCUUUUUGCUUACUUCCGUAAAUUGUAGCGAGUUUAGUUGGGAAUCUACGUUGUUCGUUGCGUCGAUUGAAAGGUUAUUGCGUAAGUUCUGUUUUUAUUCUCUUUUAUUUUCGUGAAAUUUUGUUGUUUUACUUUGAGGUUAGAAAAUUUUGUUGUUUGUUUGAAUUUUCAUUAAUUGUGCAAUUGGGGUUUUGUUAGACGAAGGUCUUGCGGGAAAUGUUCCUUCAACACGCUAGUUCCAUAAUUCGCUACUACGUACGAGGUAAUUGGGUGAUUUUCGAGUUGGGGUUCUAUGUCAAAAUUUUGACAUAAUUUUGGGUUAUACGUUAAUCCUAGCGUUUCAUUGUGAAUAAUUGCUUAACUGGCUUUUGGACUGUUGUUUUUAGGUUUUGGAUUCUUUUUGGGUGCUUCUAUGUCGAAAUCAUACAAGGUGUGUAACAAAAACCCAAAUUUCUGUGAUUUGCGAACUCCAGAAAAUAUGGUUAUCAACGCCACAAAACUGUAUGGUAAGACGUGUGAGCCACACGGCCGUGUGUUAGGCCGUGUAACUCACAGUUUUGAGAUUAAAGGUACACGAGCUAGAGGCACGGGCGUGUGUCCAGGCCGUGUGAGAGAUAUUUUGGGUCUUGAGUCAAACAAGCAUGUGCUUGGUCAUGUGUUAGACCGUGUAACUCACUAUUUUGAGCCACACAACUGUGUGCGACAAUGAGGAGAACCACAUGGGCGUGUGUUAGGCCGUGUGGACCAAACGGGCCAGCCAUCCAAACCGUGUGAAUCCACACGCGCGUGUGGGCCAAAAAUAAGAAUUUUUCCUUAGGGUUGUAAUUGCCGUUUGAAUCGAACAUAGGCCUACCGUAAGGUCUAUAUGAUCUGAAUUAAACAAUGAGACUGUUAUCUUAAGAUCUUUUAUUGAAUAGUCUGUUACAUUUAUUUAUAUAGUUAACAUGAAAUCUGAUAAGUAACUAUGACAAACUUACAUGAGAAUGAUCUGAAUUGCUAUUUUUGUAUACGCAUAUCUGACAUAUGUUAAAUUUGCAUCUACAUUGGGUUGGGAUUGUGAAAAAGAGGAAGCGUGGGCAGUUUAAUAAUCUACUGAACUUAGUGGCUAAGCCACAAACUUAUAUUUGACUUUGGCGAGUUAUCAUAUUUUGAUCUGGCAGCUUGACUGCAAUUUUUUUAAAACGUGACACAUAGUCACUAUGCGGUGUGUAGGGAUGGAUGAGUACUUGUUACCCUAUAUGGUGUGUAGGGAUGGACAGAGAUGAUGUGUAGCAGUUGGGCGUAAGAAUCUGCAUUUGUAUCUAAACUGUUCUGCAAUUGUAUUUGAUAUCCUUUGUUUUUGUAUCUGAUUCUGAGAAAUUACUGACUAAAGACGAACUGAAAUCACGUUUGUUAUAUUACUGUUUAAUUGAGAAUGUAAGUUACACACUGAGUUGUAUACUUAUUUAGUCUGUUUUUUUGGAUUACAGGUAACCCACAGACUUAGGUGGGUCGGCGUGGUAGGAGCUUGGUCAUUCCUCUCUAGUUAUUUUUUUCAAUUUUUAUAAACUUAUGCUAUUGUG